CUAGCAAAACAAGAAAAGAAACGACCAAAUAAUCAAAUUUUUUAAAAACUUAAAAAUUUAAAAGUUAAAACAUUUUUCUGCCUAAGUAUGAGAGACAAAAAAGGCUUUAUGAUAGCAAUAGAUUAAGAGUACCGUAAGGGAAUGUUGAAAUAACCGCUGAAAACAAAAAAACCUAAAACAGCAGAGAUUAACGCUCGUACCUUUUGCAUCAUGAUUUAGCAAGAGUGUUUAAAGCAAAGAGAACUAUAGUUUUUACACCCGAAACCAAGCGAGCUACUCCGGGACAGCCUGAAGAGGGGCCCACCCGUCUCUGUGGCAAAAGAGUGGGGAGAUCCCCGGGUAGAGGUGAAACACCUACCGAGAUUGGAAAUAGCUGGUUACCUGAGAAAUGAAUAGGAGUUCAGCACUAUUUUUUCUUUCCCCAAACCCCAGGCCGGAAGAAAAAAUAAAAGUUAAUUUAAAGAGGAACAGCUCUUUAAAUAAAGGAAACAACCUCAAAGAAAGAUAAAGAUCAUAAUAAUUAAGGUUAAAUAUUUCGGUUGGCUUAGAAGCAGCCACCCUCGAAAGCGUUAAAGCUCUAAUAUUGUUUUACCUAAAAUAUAGAAAAUAUUCUCUUAAUCUUCAAAUUUUAUCAGGUCCUAUUAUAUAAUAAUAAUGAUAAUGCUAAUAUGAGUAAUAAGGGGAUGACCCCCUCCUUUGCAUAAGUGUACUUCGAAAUGAACUCACAUCGAAAGUUAACGACCCCAAUAUAAGAGGGGAUAGUGCUCAAUAACAUCACCUAGAAAAUCACACACCUAUAAUCGUUAAACCUACACUGGGAUGCCUUCAAGGAAAGACUAAAAGAAUUAAAAGGAACUCGGCAAACCCAAGCCUCGCCUGUUUACCAAAAACAUCGCCUCUUGUAAAUUAUAAGAGGUCCUGCCUGCCCGGUGACUCCUGUUUAACGGCCGCGGUAUCCUAACCGUGCAAAGGUAGCGUAAUCACUUGUCUUUUAAUUAAAGACCCGUAUGAAUGGCAAAACGAGGGCUUAACUGUCUCUUUAUUCUAGUCAAUUAAAUUGAUCCUCCUGUGAAAAAGCAGGAAUAAAAACAUAAGACGAGAAGACCCUGUGGAGCUUUAGACAAACCAGGAAGACUUUUGAACCUGCCAUAAACAGAUUAUUUAAGUCUCCACCUAGGAAGUGUCUUUGGUUGGGGCGACCGUGGGACAAUGAAUAACUCCCACAAAGAAGAAACCACCUUCUUUUAAACCUAAUAUCUCAAAUAAAAGCCACAAAAUCUUUGACAUGCAGACCCGGCUUGCCGAUCAACGAAACGAGUUACCCCAGGGAUAACAGCGCAAUCCUCUUUAAGAGUCCUUAUCGACAAGAGGGUUUACGACCUCGAUGUUGGAUCAGGACAUCCUAAUGGUGUAGCCGCUAUUAAGGGUUUGUUUGUUCAACGAUUAAAGUCCUACGUGAUCUGAGUUAAGACCGGAGUAAUCCAGGUUGGUUUCUAUCUAUGACCCCCUCCUUCUAGUACGAAAGGACCGAAGAAGUAGCGCCCCUGCUAAAAGUAUGCGUCACCCCUAAUUACUGAAACCAAAUAAAAUAGGUAAGGGGGGAUAAAAAUUGACUUACGAUAAAAGUAU
rnacentral:rRNA from 1 species